ensembl:lncRNA LINC01102 long intergenic non-protein coding RNA 1102
AAAGCAUGCAUCAGCCACAUCCAUGCUAUCUCCUAAAGCAGUCAUUCUGAAACCCAAUCUGGGGACAGUGCAGACUAAAUAAAAUUUCAUUUUGAUUUGGCCUCCCGCUGCGAAUGGGACUGCUUUGUCUCAGCCGACAGAACCAGCAAGCCAGAAAGAUUGAAGAACAAAAUGAAAGUUAGUUAAAGAAGACGUUGAAGAAACAAUAGUGUGAAAACAGCACGAAAUGUCAUUUGGUAAAUAUGCCACAGCCUCACAUAAGGAAGAGGAAAAUGGCAGUGUGGGCCAUGAUUGGCAGGUCUGGAUCCAUAGACUGUGAUUUCCAGGAUCACCCAACAGGAAUGAAGACAUUUGGAGAAGAAGCGUUUACUGAAAGGAGAUUCCUGGGCUGGAGGAAAACCAUGAUCUACAGUUCAUGUUGACAGAUAUUGUAUUUUUGGUCCUAGAUCUGACUUUUGAAAUGACUUAUCACAAAUUCAAAUUUAGCAAUCAUGAGUGAAGUACCCACGAUGUGCUAAGCAUCUACCUCUGCAGAUAGAAGAACACUUACUGUUCCUGAGCAUGGGAGGGAAUAGAAGUUCCUGGGUCCUGGCCUCACCUCAUCAGGCACUGCCAAAUUUGACACCUCCUUCCUGUUCACGGCAGUCCUUUGCGAUAGGACGAGGGAACUGAGCUGUCAAAACUAAGUGACUUGAUUGAGGCCAUGCAGCUGGCGAGGGGAGGACCAGGAUCUGAACCCAACUGGGUCUCCCAAGCCUGGGCCACUGAACCAUUUCACCUCUUGGAAAAACUUAAUGGUCAGAGUGGCCCACCCAGUCCAUGGACAGCAUGGAGGAUAAACUGCUUCCCUAGAAAUCCUCUCCAGCAUUCUUGCCACCACGACUUUGGGACACAUUGACCAUGAGGAGGAGCUGGUCAAUGAUGGACAGGAGUCCAGAUUAGCAGAGAUGUGGUAAUAAGGACACCGAUGCCUAAAUACUUGAAAUAUCCAAUAGGAAGCAUUCCACCUUUGUGCAAAUGCGAACCACAUCUCACCAAGUUCAGGCCAAGGCUGCCACCGGUGACGUUUUGGAAAAGAAAAAAAAAAGCGGGGGGAGAGGAGAGAAACAGAGAAGCAAGGAAUGCAGAAGAGAGCAGAGGCCACAAAAACAGCAGCAACGUGUCCUGUGUAUUCUGUUUCCUUGUAAAACUAUGAAGCAUGUUAAGGAGAUACUUCAUUUUUUGAGGAUUCAUACUCUUGUUUAUAUUAUAAUAAAAACAACCCAUGUUCUUUCUAAAAAUUUAGGCAAUGCCUUCGUGCACAUAAAAGUAAAACAAAAUCACCUGUAAUCCUACCACACGCAGAUCAGCACUUGCUAAUCUUUUCACAGGGAUCCUAAGAAUAUCCUAUUCUCUAUAGAAUAUAGUUGAUUUAUGUUACCUAAUAACUAACUGUUAACCAUUUUAAAAUUCUUCAGUUUUACAUUAUGCUAGAAAAAAGGAGCCGUCACUCUACGUGACAUUUCUGUAUAUUGGUUUAUUCAUUCAAUAAACAUUUUUUAAGUACCUA